AUGUUGGACGCGCCCAACCUCACCAGAGAAAAGCCCCGCUGCCGGAGGGAGGCCAUGCUGGAUGGAGGCCACGCCGGAGUGAGGAGGCGCCGGAAGGAGGAGGUCGCGCUCGCGCUGCUUGCCAGAGUGAGGAGGCACCGGAGGGAGGAGCCCGCACCGCGCGGCCCCACUGCUCGGCGGAGUGAGGAGGCCGUGCCGCUCACCGGCCCGCGCCGCGCUGCCCGCGCUGCUCGUCGGUGUGAGGAGGCGAUGGAGGGAGGAACCCACGCCACUCGCGCUGCUCGCCGGAGUGAGAAAGCCAUGCUGCUCGCCGGAGUGAGGAAGCCGUCAUGCCGCCCGCGUUGCUCACACAGUCUGCGCCGUGCUACUCGCCUGAGAGAGGAGGCGCUGGAGGUAGGAGACGCCAAAGGGAGGAGGUCGCGCGAGGCCUCCUACGUGGGGCGCUGGGGAACGGGCGGCGGCGCGAGGCCUCUGGCGUGGGGCGUUGGGAAACGGGCGGCGCCGCGAGGCAGGAGGCCGCCGGCGGCUUCCAUGGCGGGGAUGGGGGAUGGGGCCGGCUCAAUGGAGGAGAGAGGAUUGGGCCGGCUCGACGGGGAUGGGGGACGGGGCCGACUCGAGGGAGGAGAGAGGACGGGGCAGUUGGAGGGGAGCAUGGCUGGGUGUAGGGUGGCCGGCGGCGACCAUGGCGGGGCUACUGGUGAGUUAUGUGAGAGAGAGAUGCGUGAGACAGAGAACGUGGGGAUAAGGGAGAGAGAACAUGGUGGGGUCGGCUGA
rnacentral:rRNA from 1 species